GGGAUUGUAGUUCAAUUGGGUAGAGCACCGCCCUGUCAAGGCGGAAGCUGCGGGUUCGAGCCCCGUCAGUCCCG
rnacentral:tRNA from 2 species